rnacentral:rRNA from 1 species
UUAAAGUUAUAUAGAGGUAGAGCUACUGAUUGGAUGCGGGGGCUUCACCGCCUACCAAUUCCUGACAAACUCCGAAUGCUAUAUAAUGUUUCGUAACAGUGAGGGCUUGGGUGCUAAGGUCCAAGUCCGAGAGGGAAAGAACCCAGACCAUCAGCUAAGGUCCCCAAAUAUAUACUAAGUUGAAAGAACGAGGUUUGUCUGCAUAGACAGCUAGGAUGUUGGCUUGGAAGCAGCCAUUCAUUUAAAGAGUGCGUAACAGCUCACUAGUCGAGCGGACGAGCAUGGAUAAUAAUCGGGCAUAAGUAUAUUACCGAAGCUAUGGAUUUACAAUUUAUUGUAAGUGGUAGGGGAGCAUUCUCACAGGGUAGAAGGUGUAUCGUAAGGUAUGCUGGACCGGUGAGAAAAGAAAAUGUAGGCAUAAGUAACGAUAAUGCGGGCGAGAAACCCGCACACCGAAAGACUAAGGUUUCCACAGCUAUGCUAAUCAGCUGUGGGUUAGUCGGGACCUAAGGCGAACCCGAAAGGGACAGUCGAUGGACAACGGGUUAAUAUUCCCGUACUACUGUUAACUGUGAUGGGGUGACGGAGUGAUGAAAGUGCCGCGAACUGACGGAAUAGUUCGUUGAAGUACCUACCUAUAAGCUGCGCAGGCAAAUCCACGCGGCUUGGGGAAAUACGAUAGUACUCGGAGUCUUCGGACGAAGAGAUAGUGCACCUAAGGGCUUCCAAGAAAAACCUCUAAACUUCAGGUUAAUAGUACCCGUACCGCAAACCGACACAGGUAGUCGAGAUGAGAAUUCUAAGGUGCUCGAGAGAUUCAUGGCUAAGGAAUUAGGCAAAAUAGACCCGUAACUUCGGGAGAAGGGUCGCCAGCAGCAAUGCUGGCCGCAGUGAAGAGGUCCAGGCGACUGUUUAUCAAAAACACAGGGCUCUGCAAAAUCGUAAGAUGAAGUAUAGGGCCUGACACCUGCCCGGUGCUGGAAGGUUAAGUGGAGAUGUUAUCUUCGGAGAAGCAUUGAAAUGAAGCCCCAGUAAACGGCGGCCGUAACUAUAACGGUCCUAAGGUAGCGAAAUUCCUUGUCGGGUAAGUUCCGACCUGCACGAAUGGUGUAACGAUCUGGACACUGUCUCAGCCAUGAGCUCGGUGAAAUUGUAGUAGCGGUGAAGAUGCCGCUUACCCGCAGUGGGACGAAAAGACCCUGUGCACCUUUACUAUAGCUUAGUAUUGACUUUGGACAAAUGAUGUGUAGGAUAGGUUGGAGACUGUGAAGUGGCGUCGCUAGGCGUUGUGGAGUCAUUGUUGAAAUACAACCCUUUGUUUGUCUGAAGCCUAACCCCGC